ACCCGCACAAGCAGCGGAGCGUGUGGUUUAAUUCGUUGCUACACGAAGAACCUUACCUGGGUUUGACAUAUAGGUUGUAGGGAACUGAAAAGGGACCGACCCUUCGGGGAGCCUAUACAGGUGUUGCAUGGCUGUCGUCAGCUCGUGUCGUGAGAUGUUCGGUUAAGUCCGCUAACGAGCGCAACCCUCGCUGUGUGUUAUAUGUGUCACACGGGACUGCCGGUCUUAAGCCGGAGGAAGGUGGGGAUGAUGUCAAGUCAGCAUGGCCUUUAUAUCCUGGGCUACACACACGCUACAAUGGCCAACACAAUAGGUUGCUAAGCCGCGAGGUGGCACCAAUCCAUAAAGUUGGUCUCAGUUCAGAUUGUAGGCUGCAACCCGCCUGCAUGAAGAUGGAGUUGCUAGUAACCGCAGGUCAGCUAUACUGCGGUGAAUACGUUCCCGGGGCUU
rnacentral:rRNA from 1 species